UACGUAGGGGGCGAGCGUUGUCCGGAUUCAUUGGGCGUAAAGCGCUUUAAGGCGGCUCGCUAAGUCGGGUGUGAAACCUCCAGGCUCAACCUGGAGACGCCACUCGAUACUGGCGUGACUAGAGUUCGGUAGGGGACCACGGAAUUCCUGGUGUAGCGGUGAAAUGCGCAGAUAUCAGGAGGAACACCAGUGGCGAAGGCGGUGGUCUGGGCCGAUACUGACGCUGUAGAGCGAAAGCGUGGGGAGCGAACAGG
rnacentral:rRNA from 1 species